CUUAUCCAGAGUGGCGGAGGGACAGGCCCGAUGAUGCCCGGCAACCGGUUCGCGAAAGCGGACGAGGUGCCAAUUCCUGCGGGCGGCGGAUGCCGCGCCGAAAGAUGAGG
rnacentral:ncRNA from 1 species